rnacentral:rRNA from 1 species
GUGGAUUAGAUACCCUGGUAGUCCACGCCCUAAACGAUGCGAACUGGACGUUGGGAGCAAUUAGGCUCUCAGUGUCGAAGCUAACGCGUUAAGUUCGCCGCCUGGGGAGUACGGUCGCAAGACUGAAACUCAAAGGAAUUGACGGGGGCCCGCACAAGCGGUGGAGUAUGUGGUUUAAUUCGAUGCAACGCGCAGAACCUUACCUGGCCUUGACAUCCACGGAAUCCUUGAGAGAUCGAGGAGUGCCUUCGGGAACCGUGAGACAGGUGCUGCAUGGCUGUCGUCAGCU